AAGUCGUAACAAGGCCUCCGUUGGUGAACCAGCGGAGGGAUCAUUACAGAGUUGCAAAACUCCCAAACCAUUGUGAACGUUACCUUUACCGUUGCUUCGGCGGGCGGCCCGGGUCCUGCCCGGCGCCCCUCGGCCCUCGCGGGCGCCCGCCGGAGGUAAACCAAACUAUUGCAUUGUAUGGCCUCUCUGAGUCUUCUGUACUGAAUAAGUCAAAACUUUCAACAACGGAUCUCUUGGUUCUGGCAUCGAUGAAGAACGCAGCGAAAUGCGAUAAGUAAUGUGAAUUGCAGAAUUCAGUGAAUCAUCGAAUCUUUGAACGCACAUUGCGCCCGCCAGUAUUCUGGCGGGCAUGCCUGUUCGAGCGUCAUUUCAACCAUCAAGCCCCCGGCUUGUGUUGGGGACCUGCGGCUGCCGCAGGCCCUGAAAACCAGUGGCGGGCUCGCUAGUCACUCCGAGCGUAGUAGUUUACAUCUCGCUCAGGGCGUGCUGCGGGUUCCGGCCGUUAAAAGCCUUAUUUUACCCAAGGUUGACCUCGGAUCAGGUAGGAAGACCCGCUGAACUUAA
rnacentral:rRNA from 1 species